rnacentral:rRNA from 1 species
AACGAACGCUGGCGGCAUGCCUAACACACGCAAGUCGAACGAGACCUUCGGGUCUAGUGGCGCACGGGUGCGUAACGCGUGGGAACCUGCCCUUAGGUUCGGAAUAACUCCCCGAAAGGGGUGCUAAUACCGGAUAAUGUCUUCGGACCAAAGAUUUAUCGCCUUUGGAUGGGCCCGCGUUGGAUUAGCUAGUUGGUAGGGUAAAAGCCUACCAAGGCGACGAUCCAUAGCUGGUCUGAGAGGAUGAUCAGCCACACUGGGACUGAGACACGGCCCAGACUCCUACGGGAGGCAGCAGUGGGGAAUAUUGGGCAAUGGGCGAAAGCCUGAUCCAGCAAUGCCGCGUGAGUGAUGAAGGCCUUAGGGUUGUAAAGCUCUUUUACCCGGGAUGAUAAUGACAGUACCGGGAGAAUAAGCUCCGGCUAACUCCGUG